GUUCGAUCAUGGCUCAGAUUGAACGCUGGCGGGAUGCUUUUACAUGCAAGUCGAACGGCAGCACGGACUUCGGUCUGGUGGCGAGUGGCGAACGGGUGAGUAAUGUAUCGGAACGUGCCUAGUAGCGGGGGAUAACUACGCGGCGUAGCUGGCCUACAUACGCCCUUCGAAGGAAAGCGGGGACCUUCGGGCCUCGCACUGUGAGACGGCCGAUAUCGGAUUAGCUGAAUUGGUGGGGUAACGGCUCACCAAGGCGACGAUCCGUAGCCAGCUGGUUUGAGAGGACGACCAGCCACACUGGGACUGAGACACGGCCCAGACUCCUACAGGAAACUGACAGUGAAAUUUUGGACAAUGGGGAAACCCUGAUCCAGCCAUCCCGCGUGUCCGAUGAAGGCCUUCGGGUUGUAAAGCACUUUUGGCAGGAAAGAAACGGCACGGGAUAAUACCCCGUGCAACUGACGGUACCUGCAAAUCAACACCGGCUAACUACGUGCCAGCAGCCGCGAUGUACGUAGGGUGCAAGCGUUAAUCGGAAUUACUGGGCGUAAAGCGUGCGCAGGCGGUUCGGAAAAGAAAGAUGUGAAAUCCCCAGAGCUUAACUUUUGGAACUGCAUUUUUAACUACCGAGCUAGAGUGUGUCAGAGGGAGGUGGAAUUCCGCGUGUAGCGGUGAAGUAAGUAGAUAUGCGGAGGAACACCGAUGGCGAAGGCAGCCUCCUAUGGGAUAACACUGACGCUCAUGCACGAAAGCCGUGGGGAGCAAACAGGAUUAGAUACCCUGGUAGUCCACGCCCUAAACGAUGUCAACUAGCUGUUGGGGCCUUCGGGCCUUGGUAGCGCAGCUAACGCGUGAAGUUGACCGCCUGGGAGUACGGUCGCAGAUUAAAACUCAAGGAAUUGACGGGGACCCGCACAAGCAGUGGAUGAUGUGGAUUAAUUCGAUGCAACGCGAAAAACCUUACUACCCUUGACAUGUCUGGAAUCCGAAAGAGAUUUGGGAGUGCUCGCAAGAGAACCGGAACACAGGUGCUGCGCAUGGCUGUCGUCAGCUCGUGUCGUGAGAUGUUGGGUUAAGUCCCGCAACGAGCGCAACCCUUGUCAUUAGUUGCUACGAAAGGGCACUCUAAUGAGACUGCCGGUGACAAACCGGAGGAAGGUGGGAACGACGUCAAGUCCUCGCGGCCCACCAUGGGGUGGGUGAUGUUCACACACGUCUACCCAUAAUGAACGGCGACAGAAGCGCGCCAACCCGCGGAGAGAGUGUCCAAAACCGUUGCCACAGUCCCGACGCAGUCGCAACUCCCGGACUGCGUGAAGUGAAUCGCUAAGCAUCGCAGUUGACAUAUCUGCAGAACACGGCUCUAGCGAUAUGCCACUGCCGUCCACCAUGGGAGUGGGUUUUACCAGAGUAGUUAGCCUAACCGUAAGGAGGGCGAUUACCACGGUAGGAUUCAUGACUGGGGUGAAGUCGUAACAAGGUAG
rnacentral:rRNA from 1 species